rnacentral:lncRNA from 1 species
UUGUGGAGACAGAGGAGAAAGGAGAAGCAGAGUCCUAAUACAAGCUUAUUAUCUAGAUGAGCUUAAUGCACAGUAAGAUGUCACUGCAAAUCUCCUGUGCUUCACUUCACACCAUGAAAAGGACUUGGGCUUAGUCACUUAAAGAAAUCUCACCUGAAUGACUCAGAUCUUUUCAGCUGGCAGUUUGAAGAUGUCACUGCCAUUCAGCCUACAUUUGCUGGAUAAAAACAACAGCCACCUUUCCAGGCAGGAAGGUGGAAAGGCAGCUACACAUCUCUGUCAUGGUUGAAGGCACUGUUAAUUGAAUUUAUGCCAAGUGACUACUUGCUUGGUUAGCAUAUGACUGGAUUGAGGUGACCGUGAUGAACUGGCUAUACCUGGGCUGCCGAAAACGUGACAGUCUUCAAAGAUUAAAGAAUCUGUGUGCAGUUCCUCGGAGAAAAGUAGAGCAGCUAACCUCUGGAUUUGAAGCGCUCCACAUUGUGUGCAACAGUUAUGGAGAAAGAAUAACACAAG